AUGACGUCAAUCAUCAUGCCCUUAUGACCUGGGCUACACACGUGCUACAAUGGUUGGUACAACGAGUUGCGAGUCGGUGACGGCGAGCUAAUCUCUUAAAGCCAAUCUCAGUUCGGAUUGUAGGCUGCAACUCGCCUACAUGAAGUCGGAAUCGCUAGUAAUCGCGGAUCAGCACGCCGCGGUGAAUACGUUCCCGGGCCUU
rnacentral:rRNA from 1 species